GCACGACUCAGGGUCAAAUGCAGAAUAAUCCUUGGCGAGCAGGGCAGCUCAAACUGGAGAAGAAAUACCUUCAGGAAACUGGUUUUGUUUUGCGGCAUGGGCCAACAGGUAAACAAAAAUAAAUAAAAGACAUCCCGGAAGAUGGGCGGAGGAACGAGUCCAACGUGUUCAGUCAAACACAAGCUAGCGCUGCAGCUACUGCUGCUAAAGUUAGCCACCUCAUGGAAAAGCACCGUCAACGCACAGCAGCACCGGACAAGAGUGCUCCUUUUGUGUCUUUAAUUACACUGGUUAGCUAAACUGGCCUGUUUGAGUUUGUCGGCGAAAAAAAGGAGAGCAAAAAAAAAAAACCAAAACGACAGACUUGUUGGCCGAGCAGAAGCUAACGCUAGCGCCAGUUAUGCUAACUAGCCAGCUGCUUGUUUUUUUUGUUUUUUUUUUAAGCUAGCUCGGCUCCACCACUCCAGUCCAGGCCACAAGUGAAGUUUGCGCUGCUUUUCAGCGACCCUCUCAAUCAAUUUUCAACUCGAAAUAAAUCUCACCACAUGCCCACGCAGCUGCACUGCGUGUUCUCUAUAUGAAGACACAAGCUGUAUGCACGAACAUCUCAGCAAAAGCGACCUUUAUAGUUCAUUUAACGUUAGAGGGUUUUUUUUUAAGGGGGAGCCGUUUGCUGCUGACUCGAUGGUUGUGGCAUGCGUGGCGUACGUGUCUUUCGUAAAGAAAUAUAAAAAAAAUCCUCAAGUCCUCCAGCGAGCACAAAACAUUACAGGUGACUUAUUUUUGCUUGAGAAAUAAGGUGUUUCAGCUGGCUGGCUGACCCCACAGCGACAGCUCCUCUCCGGUCAGUGCAGAGAUUUGCGUGGCUCAGACCUCAGCUCUCUGAGGGGCUGACAGUCGGACUCCGUCGUGGCUCCGCUCCUCUCUGCGUUUGGAAAUAAGAAGAAAACGCUGCAAGUUUCCAAAGCUCCGCUCUUCAGCUGACUGCUCCAGCAACUGAGCGUGUAUCCGAAUGAAAGAAAGAGAGAAAAAAUGGGCGAGAUAAAAAAAAAAGAAAAGAAAUUAAAAAAAAAAGUUUUCGACUUAUUGUUUUCCUUUCUUCCACGCACAGAGGUAGAUUGUACAGUCUCCCAGGUCCUGCAGGAUCCCCCCUUCUCUCCCCAGCCUCUCCGCCAGUAAACAAACCCUGCCAGUGAGCCAGAUGGGCUUGAGGGGAAAUACGGACUGGAGCUUAUUGGAUUACACAACAAACUGAUCCCACUGUCAGCUGGUAACGCGUUAAAGAAAAAGAAAAGGAAAGAAAAAAAAAAGUAAUGCGGUUACUUCUCUGGGUGAAUCAGUCGUGCAAUAAAUAUACUCUACAGCUCCUGUGCUGGAGAAGCCUGCCAGAGGUAUGGAGGGCCGAGACUGCCACAAUCAGACAUUAGUAAGUACAUAAAUAAAUGUCUAGAUAAAUGAAUUAGUGCCAUCAAAUGCACCCAAAAAAUAAUGUAAAAAUGAUUAUUGAAUGAAAAUUAAUGGAUAUGUGACAUGAAUGCAUAUUUCUACUUUGCUCCUGUAUUUAUUUACUUUAGUAUUAAUUCAACAAUUUUUUUUUCCUUUCUCCAUUUUACUUUUCAUUGUACAAUUAAUUUGAAAUAUGUGGUUUCCCGUGUUUUUUCUUUUCUUUUUUUUCCCUGCAAGAAAUUGGCAAUACAAUAUUUUGUAAUUUAUAUAAAUGUACAUCUUUUUCUUGUUUUUUCCUGAUAUUUGUAAAAAAAAAAUUGGAAGAUGACCUGUGUGCAGUAUUAUAUGAAGGUGUUUUUAAUCCCAUGUGACAGAUACCAGAUAUUGCCAUGACACAGACAUAAAAAUUAACUUUAUUUAUUUAUUUAUUUAAUUAUUUCCUCCUAUUCCUGCCUUUCUAUUUACAUUUCAACUUCAUAAUACUAAUGAGGGGGCUGCCAUUUUAAGCCAAUCACGGCAGAGUAGGGUAUUAAAUAUUUAAUAAAUUAAUGAAUGCCUACAUUUGUUUUCAAUUCAAUUUUUGGUGCAUGUACUGGCAUAUUGAUUUAUUUGUAACUUGUAGUUGUGUUUAACUUAGUACUUCAACUCCACUAUAUUUUGGAGGCAAAUGUUCUAGCUACUUACUCCACUACUGCUACUUAAUUACUAGUUUUACGAGUUACUUUGCAGAUCAUGCUACAUACUUGGAGGACUGAAGCUACCAAAGUAAAAAAGAACGAAGGCACAGAAAAUGCAAAAAGAAAAAUGAAAGGAAUAGAAAAUGAAUUGGGGGGAAAUGCAAAAGGACAAAAACUAGAUACUUUUUUGAUAAAGUGAUAAAGUGGAAAUUUAAAUAGGAAACAAUUAGUUGAAUUACUACAAAUGCAAUAAAUAGAGGCAAAUCAGAUUAGAAGUAUUUAUGCCACUUUUUAUAAUGAAUCAAUCCCUACAUUUAUUUCUGGUGCGCUUAAUGGCAUAUCAUGUCUUUUAAUCAAGCCAUUUAUUUAAUAUGUUUCAUUUAAUCAGUUCCAGUCCUGUAUACAACAGAGCCAAAGUAGCAGAUUCUUUAAUUUAUGUCAUCAGUUAAAAAAUAAAUGCCGAAAGUCAGCUCUUAUAAUCGACUAGGUCUAAAGUGACACUGAUAUACCCAGACUGUACAAUAUAUACAUACAUACAUACAUACAUACAUGUAAAUAUGCUGUAUGUGUAUUUUACAUUUACUUGUACUCAAACCAAAACAGACAAAUGUGGAACACAAUAACACAAGAUAUAGAAGGUAACUGAAAAACUGUGAGGAAGUUCUAACUUUGUGUCACUUAUGCAUAAAUUAGAAUAAAAUUGUCUGUUCCAAAGAUCACAUGGAACUGACUUUUGAAAGAACCCAACCUAAAAAAUGGACUCUUCGUUUGAAUCCUUGCAAACAUCGACUGUAUACAGUCAGAUUUGGGUCCUUCUGCUCAUGUCUGAAACAGAAGAAGAUCCGCCGUUAUUUUAGGACUCAGAGGAAGGAAAAUCCUUGUGUGCUCCAGCCAUUGUUUAAAAACAGAAUGUGAUUCCGCUUUUUGAUCCUGUGAUGUUCUCUUCUCAUACUCAGACAGACCAGUGGAAUAAAAAAACAAAAAAAACAAAAAAAAAACCAACAACACGUAAUUCACACUUUGCUCACAACUCAGAGUCUGAAAAUAUCUGGGAUUGUUCUUCCUGCCGUGUGUGUGUGUGCGAGAUGUGAUUGAGCCAUGAUGCCAUCUCCACGUCGCCCGCUAAUUCACUACCUGUUUACAUCCUCCAUCAGGGCAGCAGCAUGUUUGGUGCAAGAUGCUCACAUCCUGUUGUUUAUUGUUCCGAAAAAGAGUUUUGUUUUGUUUUUUACUGGAAUUCUACACUUACGGGAUUUGUGCGCCAGCUGUGACACUUAUGAGGUAUUCUCUUGCCGAGAUUUGUCCGUAAAAGCAUGCAGGUGGUGCGAAAGAACACCAGAUACCCUGCUGACGCACACGUUGACUCGAAGGGAAGUGACCACUUGAGAGUUACGUGAAACAGGAGAGCAGCUCAUUAGUGGUAUCAGCACUUGUGUAAUCAGAGUUAUUUACCAAAAGAAGAGAACUCAGAGGCCCGUACAUGUUCACAACAACACGUCUGAAGCGGUGGAAGGAAACGAAAAGGAGCCGAGGGGUCAAGAGGUGACGCUCGAGAAAUGUCCCCAAAGGCACAGGAAGGAGGAGGAAUUGGUUACUGUUGGUGGAUUGGACCUUCAUGAAAUGCAGCGAGAUCUUGCGUUAUAGAGAAAGCAGAGCAGAACUGCAUCGCUGUGAAUUCCCUUAAACAUAAUCCCAUAUUUAGUGUGCAGUCUGUAGGAGUGAGAUGCCUUAAUGAGAUUAAAGCCGAGGUCGUGUCGGACGGUGUAGGGUGGAGCAGCGGUCUGACUGGACUUCUGCACAACAUGACCUCAUUUAGUGUGAUGCAGGUGAAAGGUUGGGCAAGGUGGCUGGCAGUAUGGACUUUGGAAAACAAUCAUCGCCGGUCAGCAACAAUGUGACUCAGGCAAAAAUUACAGACUCGCUGUAGAGACAGUGGAAAGAAGAGAAGACACACCGAAAAAACAAAGAAAUAGAUCUACACGGGAUCAGCUAUCCCCAAUGCAAUUAAUGUGGUCAACCAAUUAUAGUAAUCGUAUGAGAGUGUAAGCUUAACACUACGGGUAUGACAGUCAAAAACUUGAGAGAUCUUUGAUUUAUUGCUGUCAUGUGUUUUGUUGUUGUGUUAUAUUGUGUUUGUGUGUGUGUUUUCCUUUCCUGGGUGAGACCAGAACCAAUGUUCCUGCUCUGGCUACACAGUAAAAUCAUUGUAUUCUAUUCUUUAAAGGCAACAACAACAACAACAACAACAAAAGACACUGCAUCAACUCAUACUGAAUAGUUUAGAUCAUCGGUAGCCAUUUCCCAAAAUAUAUUAUAGUUUGUAGAUAUAGUAACAACAUUAUAGUACAACAUUAUGUAGAAAUUGACAUUUUGAGCUAUGUGGAACACCCACAGUUACUGGGUACAACAUUUUCUAAGCUUCUGAAGUAUUUUAAGGUAAAAAUAUAUUUUUAAAAAAGUUACUUAACAUUGCUGUAUGAAAAGUAUGAAAAGUUGAAACCUGCUUGAACUUUUUCUCCACCAUUUGUUUUUCCAUCAAAGGGGACGUGUGGCUGAGAUGUUGUGUGCUAAUGUGUUAGAGCAGGAGCUCUUCCUCUGUGGUGCCUUCAAGGAAGCUUCAACUUCCAAUAUUUACAUGUUGGCUGUCAAAAAAGUUGCCUUCACAGGCUAUGUUGUCGUUAAAAUCAGACCCGGAAGAUGAACAAUAAGCAAACAUGGAUGUCCUGGAAGGGAUUGUGGAGUUGGCCCGCGCUUCAAAGAUUACAGUCUGGCAGCUCAUUCUUAAGUGGUUUACAAGACGAGAAUGGUGUGAAAGAAGCAGGCACAGAAAUGUGCCACAAUAAAAAUGUGUCAAGCUGAAAAUAAGGAUUAAAAUGAUAAAAAAAAAACUGUCAAACUGGUUUUGCUUCAGGUAAAUGUUUGUAUCAUGAUGAAAACCUACAGAAUAAAAACACCAUCAGGGUUCUGGAUUGGCUCCCCGUAAACGCCGCUUCAACGAUACUACAUUGUCAGCCAUCAUGUGUAAAUGAAGGUCGACUGGAGUUCCACAUCAGACUGGUUUUUCUGUCUUCCUUCACAUCUCCAAUAUCAA